CCUACGGGAGGCAGCAGUGAGGAAUAUUGGUCAAUGGACGAGAGCCUGAACCAGCCAAGUAGCGUGAAGGAUGACGGCCCUAGGGGUUGUAAACUUCUUUUAUAUGGGAAUAAAAUGUUCUACGUGUGUGAUUUUGUAUGUACCAUAUGAAUAAGGAUCGGCUAACAACGUGCCAGCAGCCGCGGUAAUACGGAGGAUCCGAGCGUUAUACGGAUUUAUUGGGUUUAAAGGGAGCGUAGGUGGAUUGUUAAGUCAGUUGUUAAAGUUUGCGGCUCAACCGUAAGAUUGCAGUUGAAACUGGCAGGCUUGAGUACCGUAGAGGUGGGCGGAAUUCGUGGUGUAGCGGUGAAAUGCUUAGAUAUCACGAAGAACUCCGAUUGCGAAGGCAGCUCACUGGACUGCAACUGACACUGAGGCUCGAAAGUGUGGGUAUCAAACAGGAUUAGAUACCCGAGUAGUC
rnacentral:rRNA from 1 species